GCCUAGUUAGCUUAGUUGGUAGUGCGUCUGCCUUGUAAGCGCUAGGUCGCGUGUUCGAUUCCCGCUCGGGGCG
rnacentral:tRNA from 1 species